rnacentral:rRNA from 1 species
UACGUAGGGGGCGAGCGUUGUCCGAAGUUACUGGGCGUAAAGCGCACGUAGGCGGAUUGCUAAGUCAGGGGUGAAAUCCUGGAGCUCAACUCCAGAACUGCCUUUGAUACUGGCGAUCUCGAGUCCGGGAGAGGUGAGUGGAACUGCGAGUGUAGAGGUGAAAUUCGUAGAUAUUCGCAAGAACACCAGUGGCGAAGGCGGCUCACUGGCCCGAUACUGACGCUGAGGCACGAAAGCGUGGGGAGCAAACAGG